rnacentral:lncRNA from 1 species
CGACAGGCUUGCCUUCCUCCGACCGCCGACGGCGCUAGAUGGCAGCUUCAUCUACACCCCGAAGGGCAAGUUUCAGCUGGCGUGGAACGUGACGCUCCCGAGGAAACGGUCGUGUGAGGAGACGAACAGUUUGCUGGGGUGCGAUCCUGAGCCGCGGCUAGUGCGGCGCCGCUUGCCCGUCACUCUGUUGCAUCCUGAGGCAACCUGGGUGGGCUUGCGACAUACGGCCGAGUGAUGGAUCGUCUCCGCGCCAAACAGGGCUGUUCAACCGGUGACUGUUCGCCAUAUGAAACGUAAAUAUUUGCACGAGUGGUUAUGUAUGUGUCAACGAUUUAUUGCAAGCUGCUGGUCAUGCAACAUGCGACGGAAAUAAGUAAGAUCACACAGGUUUGCCUAGCUAUGCGUAUUGUGCUCCGGUAGGCUAUGGCCAGGUACAUUCACACAAGCCGCGCAAAAUAUGACCAGCCAUCAGAUAAACAGCUGACACAAAACCUGAAGGCUGUUCAUAUUUUGCGCGUGCUGCAUUGCUGCGUCUAGCUGUCGCUCAGUACCCUGCACAGCGAGCCCGCUGUGAAAGCACUUUCGGAUGCAUGUUUUGACUUCACGACGAAGACGCGCCCUAAAUGACUGUGUUGUGAAUAAAGGCUUCACUGCGUCUGUGCCUGGCGAAAGCCCCUGUCUUAAUGUGCGCCAUCUGCCGGUCUGCUGCAGAGACCGGCCAGGACACGGCGGUCGUCUGUCUUGAGGCGCGCUCGGAGAGCAGCCGGGGACUCCUUUCGUGACGUCACCGCGCCCCGCCGGGCCUCCGGCAUGACGUCACCGCGCCCCGCCGGGCCUCCGGCGUGACGUCACCGCGCCCCGCCGGGCCUCCAGCGUGAGGUCAGCCGCGGCCUCAGGCGCGCUGGUCGACCGUCACGAGGACGCUCCUGUCUCCGAGAAGCGUGGCGAGCUUGUGCCGAGAUCGCGUCUUGAGAAUCGUUACAGGAUUGGGAUUGGUGUGGGAGGCUCGUGCUGCGUGGGUGUGGGCGUCUGGAGAUUUCAUAUGCUUUUUAUGUGUGUUGUUCUUAUCUGAGCUAAUGGCAACUGGUGAGAGCCCGAACAAGCUACAGGGACGGGCCGGCCAACGUUAUCCGAAGCGGUGAAGGCGGAUAACAAUCUGCUGAUCGCGCGUGGCUCCCAUCCGCCAACGUCAGUUUAGAGCUGUAAAGCGGACACAGCCUGGGAGCCGUUGGCCGACCAAUGGGCGUGACACUUCCCCGGCACAUCGGACACUGCGGGCAGGCCGCCCCGCCAAUGCCUGUCGUGCCCUUGCUGGUCACUCGCGCCGUCUUCCGGUUGUCGCCGGCCCGGGUGCCCGGUCGGGGCCGGUGCAGCCCGCCCUGCCGCCUGCGCUGAGACACGUCACCCGCCGCGCCCGUGCCGGCAGUGUGCGCGCUGCACGCGCCCAAGUCCAAAACGCGCUCGCGCCUAAUGCAGUUUUUCCGUGCGUGCGUGCGGACGGCGUCGGUGUCGCUCGGCGAGCUCGUGACUGUCGUGGGGUGUCGCCGACAGCAGAAGACGGCAGCAGGGGGUGUCUGUUCGGCGGUCGAUGCCGUCAGGGUCGCGCUGUCGGCGGCGUCAGCUGCGCGUCGUGCCAGGAACUUGUCGCGGCGCGCUUGUGCUCGUCCGCCGUGUUGCUUAUAUUGCGUCGAGGUAUGGAGGCGUCGUUAUGAGCAUGUGUAGGACGUUGAGUGAGCAGCGUGCGGUUGAGUACAGUUCAGUCUGGUCGGAACAGCUCGCCAGGUUUUGAGUUCUGUGGACUGCGGCUCAGAUAACACCGAACCAACUAAUGAUCGAGGAGACUUACUGCGGGUGAAGGCAUUGGUCGACCCUUAGCGUACUUGUUUUAUGUGCCCAUAAUGACUCCCGAAUGUGUGACUAAAUAAGGACAACCAGAAGACACCACACAUGUCGCGGAAAACCAGCUCCGUUGUGCCGUUCGCCGAACCUCGAUGACUUGAU